CUCCAGGGAGCUUUUCCAGGAGCCUCGCGAUGGGAACCUUCCUUAUAUGCCGAUCGAUUCCCCACUAGAGUGAGAUUCUUGAGAUCAGGCACUUUUGCCUUCAUCUGUUCAGUGAUAAGCGGAGCGUGUCUCAAAUAGUGGUGAUCACAAAGCACUGAGAAUUCAAUCAAAAAUGACUUCAACAUCAGUAAAAACCUUUUCAUGUCAAGAUAUAGUCAAUUGAAUUUUUAGUGACACUGUUCAGAGCUGGUCAUGUCUAGUGUUUCCCAACUCUUUUCUUGAAUCUGGGCAUGAGUAUUGUUUACUUCCAAAACAUAAAAUUCAACUCUUUGUGGUCAAAGUCAAAGUUAUUUGAUGUAGUAAAUUCACUAUCAAAAUAUAAUUUGAUUUUUUGUAACACUCAGAGACAUCUGACAAUUUUUUGUGAAAUCUAAUAAAACAUUAAUUUUCUUAAAAAUUAUUUAAUUCACAAACUAAUGGAAGAUUGAAAUAAUUAAGCCAAAAGUUUUUUUGUGUACUACUUAAAUUAUUUUCUAACUUCCACUUCUCUUCCACAGUAUCUCUUCUGAUAUUCUAUUUACUUUAUGGGGCAGUUCCCAGAGGUAAUCAGUUUUAGUCAUAAAGCACUUCAUUUGACAUUUGACCACACAUUUUAAUUAGUUGAAUUCCAAGAUUCUAAUUAUCUGAUGGAUGAGAAGCUUUCAGUUGCCCCUAUUUAGUUUAUUGAAUUAUACUCUCCUAAUAUAAAGUGUUAUACAUUCUGGAAUGUCUUCUUUCUAAGAAAAAAUGAUUUUUAAUUAGGAUGACAGGCAAAUCACACAGAUGUAACUACUGAAGAAUAUUUUUGUAAUAUAACAUUAUAGCUUUGAUUGAAACCAUAUUAGUUGUCAUUGAUUAAAAUUUUUAUCCUUAAUAAAUAAGCACUUUUAAUGUCUUUAAGUAAAAUAUGUCUGCAUGAAAUACCCUAUCCAAAAUCAAUCAACAACUAUUUCAUUUUUACCAUAUGCCAGGUUCAAAAAAUAAAAAUAUAAGAAACAGUUCCA